rnacentral:rRNA from 1 species
AUUGCCUUAGUAGCGGCGAGUGAAGCGGCAAAAGCUCAAAUUUGAAAUCUGGCUCUUUCAGAGUCCGAGUUGUAAUUUGAAGAAGGUAUCUUUGGGUCUGGCUCUUGUCUAUGUUUCUUGGAACAGACGUCACAGAGGGUGAGAAUCCCGUGCGAUGAGAUGAUCCAGGCCUAUGUAAAUUCCUUCGAAGAGUCGAGUUGUUUGGGAAUGCACUCUAAGUGGGUGGUAAAUUCCAUCUAAAGCUAAAUAKUGGCGAGAGCCGAUAGCGACAAGUACAGUGAUGGAAAGAUGAAAAGACUUGAAAAGAGAGUGAAAAAGUACGGAAAUUGUGAAAGGGAAGGGCUGAGUCACGGUAUUUUGUAUGUUCUUCUUCGGGGGUGGCCUCUCAUUUAUCGGGCACAUCAGUUUGGGCGGUAGGAGAAUUGCGUUGGAUGUGGCCGUUCGGUGUGUGUUAUAGCCUUCGUCGAUACUGCCA